GCCCCUGUAGCUCAGCUGGCCAGAGCAGCCGCCUUGUAAGCGGCAGGUCGCCGGUUCGAACCCGGCCGGGGGCUCCA
rnacentral:tRNA from 1 species